rnacentral:rRNA from 1 species
UACGUAGGGCGCGAGCGUUGUCCGGAAUUAUUGGGCGUAAAGAGCUCGUAGGCGGCCUGUUGCGUCCGCUGUGAAAUCCCAGGGCUUAACCCUGGGCGUGCAGUGGAUACGGGCGGGCUGGAGUUCGGUAGGGGAGACUGGAAUUCCUGGUGUAGCGGUGAAAUGCGCAGAUAUCAGGAGGAACACCGGUGGCGAAGGCGGGUCUCUGGGCCGAUACUGACGCUGAGGAGCGAAAGCGUGGGGAGCGAACAGG